CAAAUACAUCCAAAUACAUCAGACAUGGCAUAUAAGCUAAUCUAAUAUAAGUUGACGGUGGUAUACUGUAACAGCGACUUAACGACAAGUGUUCCAAUUUAGAAAAAUUUAAAAGAUUAGGAACUGUAUUCAUGUUUUUCGGCAUCCGGAUAUAUUCAAGCGUGUAAGGGAAGGCGGAAGUGAUUUACACAACAGAGAGACAGACUCUGCAUCCAACGAACACCAUGCCACAUUGAGAACAGUUAAGCUAUGACAAUUGUAAAUUUUUCCGAUAAUUUACAUCAUGCAUUAUAGUAUAAGUCUAAAAUAAAUACAAUUGGGGCUACUUAAAGUGCUCAAAUUGAUAAUAUUCGCCAAGAAAAGUGCUUACCUUCUAAGUUUAAUUAAAUCUGUAACACAUUCAAGAUCUAGCCCUUCGCACAUAGCUAAAUUCAACACCGUCAUGUCAAUAUUUAAACUUAUCGCAUUACAGCAUGCCAUAUUCAAAAUACAACUUUCCAAGGAUAA